rnacentral:rRNA from 1 species
CAAGUUGAAUGUUUAAAUUUUUAAACAUAGCGAACGGGUGAGUAACGCGUGAAUUAUCUACCUUUUAAUUCAGGAUAAUUAUUUUUAAUAAAAAUACUGAAUAAUUUCAAUAAAGUUUUAAUAACGUUAAAAGAUGAGUUUGCGUAAGAUUAGGUAGUUGGUAGUUUAAAAGACUACCAAGCCGACUAUCUUUAGCUGGUUUGAAAGAAUGAUCAGCCACAUUGGGACUGAGACACGGCCCAAACUUUUUUAAAGGCAGCAGUGGGGAAUUUUGGACAAUGAGCGCAAGCUUGAUCCAGCAAUACCAAGUGAGUGAUGAAGGCUAAUUAGGUUGUAAAGCUCUUUCAUUAAGGAGGAAAAUGACAGUACUUAAAAAAGAAGUUCCGGCUAAUACCCGUGCCAGCAGCCGCGGUAAUACGGGAGGAGCGAGCAUUAUUCGGAAUGAUUAGGCGUAAAGGGUUUGUAGGUGGUUUUUUAAGUUGAAAAAAACAAAUUAAAGCUCAACUUUAUAAAUCUUUUCAAAACUGAAAAACUUGAGUAUAAAUAGAGGAUAAUGGAAUUUCUAUUGGAGGGAUAAAAUAUGUUGAUAAUAGAAGGAAGAUCAAAAGCGAAGGCAAUUAUCUGGGUAUAUACUGACACUGAGAAACGAAAGCUUGGGUAGCGAACGGGAUUAGAGACCCCGGUAGUCCAUGCUGUAAACGAUGAGUGCUCAUAUUUAGAAUUUUUAGAUAUCAAGCUAACGCGUUAAGCACUCCGCCUGAAAAGUAUAAUCGCAAGAUUGAAAUUCAAAGGAAUUGACGGGAGUCUACACAAGCGGUGGAGCAUGUGGUUUAAUUCGAUAAUACGCGCAGAACCUUACCAACUCUUGCAAAUUAGAUUAAGAAAUUUAAUUUAAUCUAAACAGGCGUUGCAUGGCUGUCGUC